ensembl:lncRNA
CAAGAUACUAAGAUUGACUCAUAAACUCAUUAAAGACAAGAACAAGACGAUAGAGCAAUGUGCUUGUUCAUUUAGUGGACCUUCAAAGCCCACCUGGUCUGUUCUCGUCGGGGUUCGGACGUGACAACAACGUCCGUCAUUGAGUAUAACCUUUUGGCCUCAACAGCCUGCUUCCUUCAGCCACACCUCACACAGCAGCUGAGAAGCCAAAAAGCGAGAGAUAGUGACCCUUCUCUGUUCUUACCUCCACCACCAACACUGUGGAUGCAUCCCAAAUGGCACCACAUUCCAUAUAAUAUAUGGCACCAGAGCCCUAUGAGUCCUGGUCAAAACAAGUGCACCAUAUAGGGGGUAGGGUGCCAUUUGGGACACAACCUGUGUCUGCAUAAGCCCUUUCCACCACAGUCGGCGAGUCAAACAAAGUAAUUAGUCAAUAAAUACAGAGCUACCCAGGCGAAGCAGGGAAGGGGUCAGCCGGCAGGCAGGAAAUCGACUGUGUCAUUUUCCCCAUCACUGUACUGUACCAAGCUGUACCCUCCUACUAACUGUCCGGGUUACUAACUGGGGUUUUGCUAGCACUUUACAUUGUGUUGCACUUAUACCUGUGUAGUAGUUCUGUAAUUACUACUCUUAUAGGCUAGCUGUGUAGUUAAUCUGUAAUUACACUCUAGUUACUUAAGUGUUACAAAGCUCGUUAACACAUAAUAUAAAUUGUAUGACAGGACCUCAAAGUAUUGAAAUGGUACCUAUCUGUAUUCAUACAGCAAACUGAGAGAAACUGGUCCUGUAAUUUAUUUUUUAUUUUCAAACGCAAAGAGAUUCGUGGGGGUAGGAGAUAAAAGUCUAUGAAAAAAGACUCACACACAUAGUGUGAAUGCGACAAGUCAAGUCCUUUUUUUUUUUAAACAGCAGAGUACGGCAAAGCAAUACCAGAGCACUUGCAAUAGUUAUCGUUACUCAUCCGCAGAGAGUCUGUGGUAAAACAGUAAACAGCACACUAUUGCCUCACCUUAUUGUCCUUAUCCAGAAUUACAACAAUUUCAUUAUUUAAAAAAAAAUGGUUUCCAGGGUGUCUGUUGUUUUGAAAAGACCCUCCAGGAAAUACAGACAUCGGCUUCUUUUCUUGGUACAACUCCACUGCCAAGACAAGAGUACCUUCACCCUCUAUAACUGUCCAUGCCAUGCAGCAGAGGGGGGAAAAGUGAAGGACUAAUUGUUUGUUUGUAUUGAAUUAACACAGUAUCGAAGUAUCCACUGGAGAGCUCCAGUAAUUGUAGUCCCCAGAAGGGAAGUCCUCACAAUGUAAGAAGUCCUCACAAUGUAAGAAGUCCUCACAAUGUAAGAAGUCCUCACAAGGCAUGAUGGGGUUUCCAAGGCCUCUCAUAGUCAGGGUGGUGGUUCAGCAACAGUGGCUACUCAAAUUGAACCACUUUAAGGAAAUGGGGGGAGUUGGAGAAGGGGGAGUCACAAGCCCCACUGACAAACAGUCAGGCGAUGGUGGUGAGUUUGGGCUGGGCACCAGCGCAAUCGAUAUCGCUGGGUCAAGGAAGAGUCACUGAGGGAGGGGCAGCACCGAGAGAUCAUGCCCCAGUGGCGGGGCUGGUUGGUGGGAGGGUAGAGGUGAUGGUAGGGGCACCCGUGGAGGUCAGAGCGAUGCCCAUAUCCGUGCUGAUCGGACCACCACGGGACACGCCACCCUCGGGAAUACCUGGCAGAUUUGCUGGGAAAACAAAGAAAAACAAACAAUGAGUAAAACUGAAAACAACACCAGUGUGUACAAGUUACUUUAGCAAUAAUACUGUGUAGUGUUACUUUAACACUAUAACACUGUGUAGUGUCAGUUUAAAACGACAGCACUCUGCACUGUUACUUUAGGUCAUGUGAAGCAGUUGUGUUGUGUGCAGUGAAGCGGCACUACAAUGGGGUGACAUGUCGGGACAAAUGGAUUUCCCCUAUCCCACUAACUCUUGGAUCAGUGUUCAUGAUUUAAAGGAGAGUAGGAGGGAGGAAAAAGAGGCCAUUGGUCGAGCAUUUAGAGCCGGCUAGAGUGCAGCACUCUGCGGCUGAGCAAGAGAGCAGCGUGGCUGACCCAUUCUGUUUCACUGACACCAGGGGACCCAAUCAACAGGCGCUACUUCCCGAUGGAGAGCAGAGGCUAAACGCCCCCCAAGCCUUAUUUUCUCUUUCGUUUUCUUUCUUUCUCCUGAGUCCCUUUACCGGUCCUCCCCUCAAAAGAUGGCAACCUUGACCCCUCGGAACGAUGUUAGCAAACCUCGGCCGAAUAAUUGGCGGAGAGGCUCCUUUAAACAAUGGCCUCCAGCGGUGUUAGGGCGACGCACAGGGGUCAGUGAGGAAGUUCACCAAAGGAUGCCUGAGGGGGUUUCUGGGUAGAGAGAAACAUUUUGUACGGGGAGGGGAAUAAUCCUGUACUCUCGUUAAUUUGUGGGCCCGUAAUCGCCUAUUGUCUGGGAAGGGAAAAUUACGAUUUUGCCCAGGCUUGGCUAAUUUUGCGGAAUAAGAAGAAAGGAAAGAAGGGGGCCAAACGACCAGGGAACAGUCGUUUGGUCCGGGGCCUUCUGCAUGGCUUGCUUUGGAUACGAACUGACAGGUGCAUUGUUUCCCAAGGACCCAUAAGCUCAAUAAUCGCGAGGGGAAGAAAGUGUAAUGCUCCUCCUGAGGAGUCUUUAAUUGACUUUAGUUCGAAGAAGAGUUGCAGAGUGACUGUAUUAGAAAAACCCGCCAAGUCCCGAGUCUCUCUCCAGUCUCUCUUCAGUCUCUCUCCAGUCUCUCUCUCCAGUCUCUCUUCAGUCUCUCUCCAGUCUCUCUCUCCAGUCUCUCUCUCCAGUCUCUCUUCAGUCUCUCUCCAGUCUCUCUUCAGUCUCUCUCCAGCCUCUCUCUCAUCUCUCUCUCCAGUCUCUCUCUCCAGUCCAGGCCGUAAACGGCUCGCUUAAUCUUCCCCAUUUGCCGAGCUUAAUGAAAAUAUCUUAUGACAGAACUGGAGUCCUUAAUCAAAUAAGAAAACGUUUUAUGUACCUCGUUAAUGAUUCAUCCAUUCAACGGGAC